rnacentral:rRNA from 1 species
GACGAACGCUGGCGGCGUGCUUAACACAUGCAAGUCGAACGGAAAGGCCCUGCUUUUGUGGGGUGCUCGAGUGGCGAACGGGUGAGUAACACGUGAGUAACCUGCCCUUGACUUUGGGAUAACUUCAGGAAACUGGGGCUAAUACCGGAUAGGAGCUCCUGCUGCAUGGUGGGGGUUGGAAAGUUUCGGCGGUUGGGGAUGGACUCGCGGCUUAUCAGCUUGUUGGUGAGGUAGUGGCUUACCAAGUCUUUGACGGGUAGCCGGCCUGAGAGGGUGACCGGCGACAUUGGGACUGAGAGACGGCGCAGACUCCUACGGUAGGCAGCAGUGGGGAAUAUUGCAGAAUGGGCGGAAGCCUGAUGCAGCAACGCCGCGUGCGGGAUGACGGCUUUCGGGUUGUAAACCGCUUUCGCCUGUGACGAAGCGUGAGUGACGGUAAUGGGUAAAGAAGCACCGGCUAACUACGUG